CAGUCGCCGCGGGAAUACGUAGGGUGCAAGCGUUAAUCGGAAUUACUGGGCGUAAAGCGUGCGCAGGCGGUUUGUUAAGACAGAUGUGAAAUCCCCGGGCUCAACCUGGGAACUGCAUUUGUGACUGGCAAGCUAGAGUCUGGCAGAGGGGGGUGGAAUUCCGCGUGUAGCAGUGAAAUGCGUAGAUAUGCGGAGGAACACCGAUGGCGAAGGCAGCCCCCUGGGCCAACACUGACGCUCAUGCACGAAAGCGUGGGGAGCAAACAGGAUUAGAUACCCCCGUAGUCCCUGUCUCUUAUAA
rnacentral:rRNA from 1 species